rnacentral:rRNA from 1 species
GACGAACGCUGGCGGCGUGCUUAACACAUGCAAGUCGAACGGAAAGGCCCUGCUUGCAGGGUACUCGAGUGGCGAACGGGUGAGUAACACGUGGGUGAUCUGCCCUGCACUUCGGGAUAAGCCUUGGAAACUGGGUCUAAUACCGGAUAGGAGCCAUUUUUAGUGUGAUGGUUGGAAAGUUUUUUCGGUGUAGGAUGAGCUCGCGGCCUAUCAGCUUGUUGGUGGGGUAAUGGCCUACCAAGGCGGCGACGGGUAGCCGGCCUGUGAGGGUGGACGGCCACACUGGGACUGAGAGACGGCCCAGACUCCUACGGGAGGCAGAAGUGGGGAAGAUUGCACAAUGGGCGCAAGCCUGAUGCAGCGCCGCCGCGUGGGGGAUGACGGCCUUCGGGUUGUAAACUCCUUUCGCUAGGGACGAAGCUUUUUGUGACGGUACCUAGAUAAGAAGCACCGGCUAACUACGUG